GCAACUAAGAUUAGAGUAUGAAAGGAUCUCUUCACAGUAUUGAAAACUGAAUGAAUCUCUGAAGAACAAGGGAUGAAUAGCUUAUGUCUCUCAAAGAAAACUGGAUGAAA
rnacentral:sRNA from 1 species